UACGAAGGGAGCUAGCGUUGUUCGGAAUCACUGGGCGUAAAGCGCACGUAGGCGGAUGUGUCAGUCAGGGGUGAAAUCCCAGAGCUCAACUUCGGAACUGCCCUUGAUACAGCACGUCUUGAGUUCGGAAGAGGGUCGUGGAAUUCCCAGUGUAGAGGUGAAAUUCGUAGAUAUUGGGAAGAACACCGGUGGCGAAGGCGGCGACCUGGUCCGAUACUGACGCUGAGGCGCGAAAGCGUGGGGAGCAAACAGG
rnacentral:rRNA from 1 species